rnacentral:rRNA from 1 species
GGGGAAUAUUGCACAAUGGGGGAAACCCUGAUGCAGCGACGCCGCGUGGAGGAAGAAGGUCUUCGGAUUGUAAACUCCUGUUGUUGAGGAAGAUAAUGACGGUACUCAACAAGGAAGUGACGGCUAACUACGUGCCAGCAGCCGCGGUAAAACGUAGGUCACAAGCGUUGUCCGGAAUUACUGGGUGUAAAGGGAGCGCAGGCGGGAAGGCAAGUUGGAAGUGAAAUCCAUGGGCUCAACCCAUGAGCUGCUUUCAAAACUGUUUUUCUUGAGUAGUGCAGAGGUAGGCGGAAUUCCCGGUGUAGCGGUGGAAUGCGUAGAUAUCGGGAGGAACACCAGUGGCGAAGGCGGCCUACUGGGCACCAACUGACGCUGAGGCUCGAAAGUGUGGGUAGCAAACAGGAUUAGAUACCCUGGUAGUCCACACUGUAAACGAUGAUUACUAGGUGUGGGGGGACUGACCCCUUCCGUGCCGCAGCAAACGCAAUAAGUAAUCCACCUGGGGAGUACGACCGCAAGGUUGAAACUCAAAGGAAUUGACGGGGGCCCGCACAAGCAGUGGAGUAUGUGGAUUAAUUCGAAGCAACGCGAAGAACCUUACCAGGUCUUGACAUCGUAUGCAUAGCUCAGAGAUGAGUGAAAUCUCUUCGGAGACAUAUAGACAGGUGGUGCAUGGUUGUCGUCAGCUCGUGUCGUGAGAUGUUGGGUUAAGUCCCGCAACGAGCGCAACCCUUACUGUUAGUUGCUACGCAAGAGCACUCUAGCAGGACUGCCGUUGACAAAACGGAGGAAGGUGGGGAUGACGUCAAAUCAUCAUGCCCCUUAUGACCUGGGCCUCACACGUACUACAAUGGCUGUAAACAGAGGGAAGCAAAGCCGCGAGGUAGAGCGAACCCCUAAAAGCAGUCUUAGUUCGGAUUGUAGGCUGCAACCCGCCUACAUGAAGUCGGAAUUGCUAGUAAUCGCAGAUCAGCAUGCUGCGGUGAAUACGUUCCCG